rnacentral:tRNA from 68 species
CGCGGGGUGGAGCAGCUCGGUAGCUCGCUGGGCUCAUAACCCAGAGGUCGCAGGUUCAAAUCCUGCCCCCGCUACAA